GACAGAACAUCGCCAUGGCUUUCACUUUGCUCUUGGUGGUUUUUGUUUGCUUGUGUUUUUUGUUGUUUGUUUUUCCCCAUUUAAUCACUUGUUUUGCUUCAGUAAGUUUGGAGUUGAGAGAGUUGAGAGCCUCCUUUGGAAAGGAAAGGCUGAAGUACUGCACGCAGGAGUGUUGGUGGGAAAUGUUUUGGGGCAGGGUGUUUACAAAAUCCAACUGAACUCAUGAGUGGUUUCUUGUCCCCCAAACAGUAUUUUUUAGCAAAUGUAUAACUUACUAGGGAAACUUUUUUAAAAUCCAAAUGUUCUAUGAAAUGUCUUUCAUUGAAUUUGUAACAGCUAGCUAAAGAAAUAUAUUCUGCCCAUAAAUUAUAAUAAUUAAAGAUGGCCCCCAAAAGAGUUGAGGUAAGUUAAGGAGGGGGCCUUGACUUUCUUAGCUGGAGGAGAAGGAGNNNNNNNNNNNNNNNNNNNNGGUGAUGGCAUCCCUGUGUGGUUAUGAUGCUGUUAGACUUCGUGAAGCCCCAUCAACAACAAGUUGGCUCUGGGCAAAACUACAAGCUGCAGCUUCAGCCUAUGGUGUGGAAAAUGUCCAGAGCUGGUACAACACCAGGGGAAGAAGUGAUGGGCAUCGAUGGCAAGGGCGCUGCAGCAGCACCCAGCAGACCCAGCUGGCUUGGUGGGCUGUGGUGAGCCAUGGAGACUCAAGGAUCAGUGUAACACAAAGACAACGUAACAUCUUGACUGAGGACGAUUUUACAUUUCUUUUAUCCAUUGCAAAAACCUUUGUAACGUGUGGAGUAAAAAGCUCACAAAUUGCAUUGUAAAGGAACUACCAUAAAGUAUAUGCUUCCAAUGGACCUUUUACAACAUAACACAAAAUUCAAACGACAUUUUUUAGGUAAGCACUUUAAACUUUCACACUUAUGUCCUGACAACAUUAGAGUACUGUAAGCUGUAAACUGUAAGAAGUUUUAUGUGAUUAAAUAAAAUCAGCAUUACAAUUUCCA
rnacentral:lncRNA from 1 species